rnacentral:rRNA from 1 species
UGGGGAAUAUUGCACAAUGGGCGCAAGCCUGAUGCAGCCAUGCCGCGUGUGUGAAGAAGGCCUUCGGGUUGUAAAGCACUUUCAGCGGGGAGGAAGGCGUUAAGGUUUAUAACCUUGGCGAUUGACGUUACCCGCAGAAGAAGCACCGGCUAACUCCGUGCCAGCAGCCGCGGUAAUACGGAGGGUGCAAGCGUUAAUCGGAAUUACUGGGCGUAAAGCGCACGCAGGCGGUCUGUCAAGUCGGAUGUGAAAUCCCCGGGCUCAACCUGGGAACUGCAUUCGAAACUGGCAGGCUAGAGUCUUGUAGAGGGGGGUAGAAUUCCAGGUGUAGCGGUGAAAUGCGUAGAGAUCUGGAGGAAUACCGGUGGCGAAGGCGGCCCCCUGGACAAAGACUGACGCUCAGGUGCGAAAGCGUGGGGAGCAAACAGG